AGUAGGAUAGCUGAGUCAAAUGGUGUUUCCAUUCCAAGUUUUCUGAGGAAUCUCCACACUGUUUUCCAAAGUGGUUGCACCAAUUUGCAGUCUUACCAGCAAU
rnacentral:pre_miRNA from 1 species